UACGUAGGGGGCAAGCGUUGUCCGGAAUCAUUGGGCGUAAAGCGCGUGUAGGCGGUUCGGUAAGUCGGCUGUGAAAGUCCAGGGCUCAACCCUGGGAUGCCGGUCGAUACUGCCGGACUAGAGUUCGGAAGAGGCGAGUGGAAUUCCCGGUGUAGCGGUGAAAUGCGCAGAUAUCGGGAGGAACACCAAUGGCGAAGGCAGCUCGCUGGGACGUUACUGACGCUGAGACGCGAAAGCG
rnacentral:rRNA from 1 species